rnacentral:piRNA from 1 species
UGCCAGGACCUGAAAUGGGCCGACCAGGA